UGGGGAAUAUUGGGCAAUGGGCGCAAGCCUGACCCAGCAACGCCGCGUGAGGGAAGAAGGUUUUCCGAUUGUAAACCUCUGUCCUGGGGGCCGAAAAAAAUGACGUUACCCCGGGAGGAAGCCCCGGCUAACUACGUGCCAGCAGCCGCGGUAAUACGUAGGGGGCGAGCGUUGUCCGGAAUUACUGGGCGUAAAGGGUGCGUAGGCGGCAUGUUAAGUUGGAUGUGAAAUACCCGGGCUCAACCUGGGGGGUGCAUCCAAAACUGGCAAGCUAGAGUGCAGGAGAGGAAAGCGGAAUUCCUAGUGUAGCGGUGAAAUGCGUAGAUAUUAGGAGGAACACCAGUGGCGAAGGCGGCUUUCUGGACUGCAACUGACGCUGAUGCACGAAAGCGUGGGGAGCAAACAGG
rnacentral:rRNA from 2 species